GAUGAACGCUAGCUACAGGCUUAACACAUGCAAGUCGAGGGACCGGCGCCCGGGUGAGUAACACGUAUCCAACCUGCCCUUUACUCGUGGAUAGCCUUUCGCCAGAACGAUUACUCCCCUAUUUAAAGGAUGGGGAUGCGUUCCAUUAGUUUUUUGGUGAGGUACCGGCUCACCAAGCCUUCGAUGGAUAGGGGUUCUGAGAGGAAGGUCCACCACAUUGGAACGGAGACACGGUCCAAACUCGUACGGGAGGCAGCAGUGAGGAAUAUUGGUCAAUGGGCUUUAGCAUGAAACAGCCAAGUAGCGUGAAGGAUGAAGGCUUAUGGGUCGUAAACUUCGUGGAUAUAAGAAUAUGUAUUAUAUGAAUAAGGAUCGGCUAACGCCGUGCCAGCAGCCGCGGUAAUAC
rnacentral:rRNA from 1 species